rnacentral:lncRNA from 1 species
AUUCGUUUAAAGGAUGACUAUUUAUCAUAUAUUCAAAAUUUUACACCUAUUUAUUUGAUAUUGGAGACUUGAAUUUUUUUUGUGAAAGUGCCAAUGAAUAUAAUAAUUGAUAUAAACUAUGGAUGGUAUAAUUAGCCACUGCUAGUGUAACAACUAGCUGUAUGCUACAGUAAACCCCUAUCUAAUAAAAUGAGGUCUUUUAGUAAUUUAAUUUCCAUGUUUUGUCACUUAAUGUGAUUUAUUUUGAAUUAAUAAUUCAAAAUGAAUAAAUUCGUUAUUUUAAAAUAAAAUGAAUUGAACUUCUAAGAACUAAAGUGUUUGCUUGCUCUGAGAGUGGGGUUAGGUGGAAUGCAUAUGGACUCCACUCACCUUCAUGUGGUGAAUAAUUGGCCACAUGGUAGGAGUAUUUGCUGUUGGGCAGAUGGCGAGCACUGCACAUCAAUUUUCCUUAGGCUAUCGGCCACUCUCUGCAUCAAUGACCAAGAUUGCAUGCAUGGUCUUGGACGGCCAAGAUUGACCCUCAAAUUUACUUUAAAAGUCGAUUUCUUCUUUGUUUCUUCUUCCCCCAUAUUAUUUGAACUCAAAAUUUUGGAAGCAGAGUGAAACCCUAGAUUGUUGGUGAGGAAGGAAGUUUAAAAACAGAGUGUGAGUGUGUGUUGGUGCCAAGAAGGAAUUCUGGUGCAUUUGUGGAAGGAAUUUCCUUCUGCUCUGGGCUACGUAAGCCUUCAUCCUUUAGAGCUAGCUCCUUUCGGCUUCCAGUACAUUUAUACACCUUUCUUGCGGAUUUUAGAACCCAAAAUUUAUAUCAACUUCCCUCCUUUGUUGUUGUUCUAUCUGCUGUCAUGGGUUGUAGGUAAGAAUCGGGUUUUUGGUUGUUAUUCGCUUCCAAAUCUCUUUUUUUUGCUAGUUCAUCGUAAUUAAUAAAUUGUUAGAUUGUUGGUGAACUACUAGGGGUUAGUUAAACAACCUUAAAUCCUAAAAAUAACUAAAAAUUAACUAUAAAUUCUGCAAUAGUUGAAGUAUCUUUAUUGCGUAUUCUGUGUAAGAUGGGUGAUAAGUUUGGUCAAUAAAAGUAUGGAUUUAUAGUAUGCAUUUAUUUAGUAAAACCUUUAAAAAUAAAAAGCAAGUGGUGUUUUAAAAUUGAUGAUGUGUGUGAGUACAUGAAUGUCUUAAAUAGUGCAUUUUGGUGAUUUUUGAAUGAUUUUAAAUGUUGGUGAUCAAGGAAUGAAUAAUGACGGAUGAGUACAUGCUAAUUAGGGGAACAUAAGGGAAAAGAGAACAAAGAUAGUAGUCAAAUAGCUUCUGUCACGAGUGCUAGGCAUCAACAUGCUGCUGCUGUUGGGCACACACGGUUUUUUCGUGUUAGUAUGCAUAAUGGGAUGAUUUUUGGGCAAUCUAAGUGUUGGAAAGCAUUUAUAGCAUAAAGUUGUUUAACAAUUGCUGCACAGGUCGUGUGAGGGGCUUGGUUAUGCUUUUUCAGAAGGGCAGCAGAGAUGUUCGAUUGUUCAAACAAGCUAUGUCGGACACCAUGUGCGCGUACAUGCAGGAACAUGCAUAGGGUUGCCCACUUCACAACUGCUCAUACUGUAGCACCCGAAAAACUUCGUGCUUAAUUUAUAAUGUAAACUCCUGUUUAUUCGAGUUCUAAAACCGUUUAAAACUCCUUAAUAUUAUAUAAUUUUAAUUUUUUGGAUGAAUAUUAUAUUUUGUAUUUUAAUUUUAUAUUUUAUUUGAUUAAAUAAUUAUUGAAAUUAAUUAUUUUAUCAUAAAAAAUUUUAUUUUAUUUAUUAUUUAAAAAAAUUUUAAGAAAAAAUGGAGAAAAAGGUAGAAAACUCCCGUGGGAAGGAUCCCACCCAUGCGGGAUCCACACACCACUUGCGCGUGCAUGUGCGUGGCCAGCGCAAGAUGUACAUACUGUGCACAUGUCCCAUUCGCGUGGGG